rnacentral:siRNA from 1 species
AGAAUGCUCUAUAAUCUCCAAAUG